UAGAGUUUGAUCCUGGCUCAGAACGAACGCAGGCGGCAKGCCUAACACAUGCAAGUCGAACGAAGCCUUCGGGCUUAGUGGCGCACGGGUGCGUUAACGCGCUGGGAAUCUGCCUCUUGCUUCGGAAUAACAGUGGGAAACUACUGCUAAUACCGGAUGAUGUCUUCGGACCAAAGAUUUAUCGGCAAGAGAUGAGCCCGCGUAGGAUUAGGUAGUUGGUGGGGUAAAGGCCUACCAAGCCGACGAUCCUUAGCUGGUCUGAGAGGAUGAUCAGCCACACUGGGACUGAGACACGGCCCAGACUCCUACGGGAGGCAGCAGUGGGGAAUAUUGGACAAUGGGGGCAACCCUGAUCCAGCAAUGCCGCGUGAGUGAUGAAGGCCUUAGGGUUGUAAAGCUCUUUUACCAGGGAUGAUAAUGACAGUACCUGGAGAAUAAGCUCCGGCUAACUCCGUGCCAGCAGCCGCGGUAAUACGGAGGGAGCUAGCGUUGUUCGGAAUUACUGGGCGUAAAGCGCACGUAGGCGGUUACUCAAGUCAGAGGUGAAAGCCCGGGGCUCAACCCCGGAACUGCCUUUGAAACUAGGUAACUAGAAUCCUGGAGAGGUGAGUGGAAUUCCGAGUGUAGAGGUGAAAUUCGUAGAUAUUCGGAAGAGCACCCAGUGGCGAAGGCGGCUCACUGGACAGGUAUGACGCUAGUCNAGGAGC
rnacentral:rRNA from 1 species